rnacentral:rRNA from 1 species
UACGUAGGGGGCAAGCGUUGUCCGGAUUUAUUGGGCGUAAAGAGCGUGUAGGCGGCUAGGUAGGUCCGUUGUGAAAACUCGAGGCUCAACCUCGAGACGUCGAUGGAAACCAUCUAUCUAGAGUCCGGAAGAGGAGAGUGGAAUUCCUGGUGUAGCGGUGAAAUGCGCAGAUAUCAGGAAGAACACCCGUGGCGAAGGCGGCUCUCUGGGACGUGACUGACGCUGAGACGCGAAAGCGUGGGGAGCAAACAGG